CACCACCAUUAGCAGCACCAGCAGUAUCACUAUCAUCACCACCAUUUUAAGCAUCAUUAUCAUUGAAUUUGUUGAUUUCAUUCUACUGGCCAUGACUUGUGGAUCUUUUCAGUGUUUGAGACUCACCUGGAACUCAGAAGACAUCAAACCUUUCUGGCACGUUCUUUUUCAGCAAGUCAGGAGGCCAUGAACAAAUUUCUACAGAUAAUGUCCAAUUUUAUAAUAUCAGUCUUAUGUGACUAAACUUACAUGAAACUAAAAUUUUUGCAAUGGCUCUGA
rnacentral:lncRNA from 1 species